GCAAAGGUUACAAAGAGUACUUCUCAAAAUACCAAGAGGACUUGGACAGCAGUCUGAAUGAAGAUAAAAGAAUCGAAUGUGGCCUGCAGUUUGCUGUGCAACUUCUGCCAUCGCUUUUUAGAGAGGAUGCGACGUAUCUACUCGCUGAUUCGAAUGAGAAUAUCAAAUCUCCAGCUCCAGUUCUUACCUGUGAAGGAGGCGAAUACCAGCUUCACAUCAACGGGGCACCUCUUCUGGCAACAAAAUCAUCAAAGUUUACAAAUGCUUUGGAAGCUCUGUUUCAGUCAUAUUGGGUAUUUUCGUUGGAAUACCCGAAGGAAAUAGAAAAGACGUUACUGUUCUUAGAGUCAUACAUAUUUCAACAC